UUUUGUUUUGUUUGUUUUUGUGGAGUGGUUGCGUGAAGCGAAGAGAUUGUUUUGUACAUUUGAUGAUUAAAAGUUUUGUUGCAGAUUUCCUUGAAUUUUUCAUGGUGAUUUCAGAAAAACGAACGCACAGUAGCCCUAGCCAAUCAGAAACCUGUUGAAAAAAAAAGUGCUGAUAAGCCUUGUUGUUUCCUUCAUUCGAUACAAAUCUCUGGAUGUAGGACAUAAUUGUUAAAGUUAAUACGUAAUGGAACAGGAAGAAAGUAGCAAUGAACAGGCGCCUGAGGCUUCGGAACCAGUUUUUGGAAACAACAUUCUCAUCAUACACCCUGGAUCUUACUGGAUAAGAAUUGGCCGAGCCACUGAUGCCUACCCUGUGUCAGUACCUCAUGUGAUUGCCAGGAAACCAAAGCAGAGAGAGAGUAGUCAGAAUUUUGAGGACAAAUUGAUAAUAAGACAUGGAAUAAACCACCCUAACAGCAACAGCCAAAAACAGCAUGCCUUAAAGAUGGUGCAGCAAGCAAUAUGGGCUAAAAAGACAUCAUCAGGUCAACGACGACAAAACGUUGCUUUGUCAGAGGUUACUAAUUACAAUGAUGAGGUCCAGCCACAGACUCUGGAUGAUAACUCUGGUUUGACUUGGACACCGAACAGUGAACAGUCAGAGUUCUUCAUUGGAGAAGAGGCUCUGUAUUUAGAUCCAAAUGAAAGUUACCAUAUACAUUGGCCAAUCAGACAAGGUAGAUUUAAUCUCCAUGCUGGCGUGGGUGGCAGUAUAACAGCUGUCCUUCAAGAUAUGGAAACAAUAUGGAGUGCCAUAAUAGAAACCAAGUUGGACAUUCCAAGCAAAGACUUUAAAAACUAUAAAGUUGUUUUACUUGUACCAGAUAUUUACUGUCGCCCUCACGUAAAAGAGCUAAUGAAUUUGGUGCUAACACGACUCGGAUUUGGGGCGGCCAUAAUUCACCAGGAAUCAGUCUGUGCAUUGUAUGGUAGUGGGAUAUCAAGUGCUUGUGUUGUAGACGUUGGUGAUCAGAAAACAAGUAUAUCGUGCGUUGAAGAUGGUCUCUCCAAUCGCAAUUCAAGGUUAUGCAUGGGAUAUGGUGGAAGUGAUGUCACACGUUGCUUCACCUCGCUACUGCAGAGGGCGCACAUGCCUUAUCGAGAAUGUCAGAUGGAGAAAACAAUGGAUGCCCUCCUAUUAAUAGAACUUAAAGAAACAUUUUGUCAUUUAGAUCAGGACCUGGAUGGAACCCAGUUACUGGACUUUCAUGUGCGAUAUCCCAAUAGCCCCACGAUAAUGUACCAGCUGAAGCUGGGUGAUGAGACACUGCAGGCACCAAUGGGUUUGUUUUACCCCCAGCUGUUUGGGAUCGUUGGAGAGAAGAUGGUGAAAACUCAGCAGAGAAACCAAGGAGAUGCGGAAGAUGCCCAUGAUGAGAACUAUUUGUUGCAAACGCAGCAACAGGCUGCUAAGGCAAAAGCUUUAGAGAAGGCUGCUGCAGAGAACAACAAUCAAGAUGGAAACGCGAACACAAACAGGAGUACAUCGCCAACUAAUCACCAUAACGACAUCAUUCAAGCAGAGGCCCCGCCCCCAACCAUCUCCAGGCGCAUCUCAACAUCUCAGUCGCUGGACAAAGCUUUAGGAGUUGACCAGGCUAUACUACACAGUAUUGACUGUUGCUCAUCCGAGGAAACAAAGAAGAAGAUGUACAGUUGUAUUCUAGUCGUUGGCGGUGGCUUGGGUUUAUUCCAGGGGGCAGUAGACAUGCUUCAAUAUCGCAUACAAAGUAAAAUGCCCCCUUCCUUCAGGGCUGUUGUUGACAAGGUUGAAGUCAUAUGCAAAUCAAAGGACAUGGACCCAAGACUGACAGUUUGGAAAGGAGGUGCUGUCUUAAGUUGCCUUGACACUGCUCAAGAACUUUGGAUAAAACAAAAAGAAUGGAAGGCAAUGGGGUUGAAGGUGCUCCGGGAACGAUCCCCAUUUGUAUGGUGAAGAAUAUACAAGUACUGUACAGUAAUUAUAAAAUUUGGUCUGAAGUCAUACGACCACCUACCAACAGAGAAAGUCUGUCCCAGGAACAAUCCUUUUUUUUUAUUGUGUCAGUAAAUGCUUGAAUGCUUAUAUAAAGUUUUCGGAAGCUUCAGUGCGGUGCUUAUUCAAGAGUGGCGCUUAUAACAAAAUAUUGGUGUAGCAUUCACCAGUUCCCAUGUUACCUAUUUAGAUAGUUCAGUAGGCCUAUCAUAGGUCCUACGUCUUUGUAAGUAAACGCUCUAAAACAACUUUGUCAUAGAAACACCACUUUUUGACAGUCCGAAAGUGCCAUUUUUCGAACAUUUGGAGGAGCCUAAAUUUGCUCUGUGGAACCCCAGUCAGGAAUUUCGGAUUUCUCAUCACAGUGCUGCCUGUCUUUCUGGAGUAAAUUUUUGAACAGAAAAUGAAAAUUAAUAAAACUACACUGACAAUUA
rnacentral:misc_RNA from 1 species